GUGGGCUGACCCCUGGUGCAGUGGAUUUCAGGAUUUCAUAAGGGGGUGUGAGAAUUGCUUUGUUGCAAAUGCCUGGAGUUCAAAAUUCAUUAUCUGAAUAAUUUGGAGGUAGAAAAAAAGUCUAUAAUAUAUGAAAAGUCUAUAGCUGUCAGACUUUGUCUCUGUGUCUUGUUUCCCCUUCCUCUCAUGCCCUUAUUUGGAGUUCCUGUCCUUGUUAUGUGAUCAUUAGUUAAUUAGUCCCCAGGCCUGUGUUAGUAAUUAUCUAGUUUCCCCAGCCUUCUUAAGCCCCGUGUUUCCCUGCCUCAGUGUCCGGUCUUGUUAUGUAUGUAGUUGUCAAGAAAGUCAUUUGUUCCGAAGUUCCUCGGCUCCAGAGAGUGUUGUGACAGAAGACCGGACCAAAACAAAAGAUGAAAGUCGUCGCCCGCACCAGCCUGCCGCCGCAAACUCCAAGCCGCCGCUGUCUGUGGCUGGUCCCAGCCCGCUGCACAGACUUCAGGCUGGCGAAGACACGACAGCCAUGGGUGGCUCUCCCAAGCCCGCCGUUCGCUGGAAAAUUCCGUCCGCGGCCCGCACAAGCCCGCCGUCAGAGAGAAUGGAAAACCCGCCGUUCGCAGGGAAAGUCCGGUCGCCAUCAGCGGCCCGCGCAAGCCCGCCGUCAGAGAGUGGGAGGGGGGGAGUAGUCAGGGCCGCAUUAACCAUUGGGCUAGGCGGGGCUGAAGCCCCGGGGCCCGAGCAAGGAGGGGGCCGUGAUUGGCUGUGGAGAAGAUUGACUGGUCAUUGGUAGCGCCGAUCGCCAAAGCCCCACCACGCCCCCCCCACUUAUUAGCGCUAUUAUUUAGUGGAGCUUUUCCAUAAAUUUCAUUGCAGUAACAUUAGAAAUUGAAACGUCACGUUUGAAUUUGUUUUACCAAUCAAAUGCAUUUAUUUUAUAUAUUGCUUUUGAAAGACCUGUGUAGCCUAUCUAUCAGGUGACCGCUGCGUGCGCACUCAUCUCUCUCUCUUCGCUUGGUUCUGGCGUAAUCUCAUGCAAAGAACAAUCUUCAAAAAGUAAAAAUGUCAACUAUUCAAAAAAUAAAAUUAAAAUAAGGAGAGAGGGGAAAAACACGAGUUAGUCAGUAAAAUUCCCAGCUAUCAGACUAUUUUACUAAAGCUGAUGAUGGAGUGGAAGUUGUGGAACAGCAAGUGGACCGGACACAUGGAGUAGAUAAAAACACAGCGUCAUCGUUGCCACCGAUUUUAGUUUACAGGACAAACUGCACAUUUCAUCAAAUUGUUUGGUGUGAUAUGAUUCCAAAUUAAGUGGGGGGCCAAGCUUGUUGACAGGGGGGCACUGAUGGCGGACUGAUGACAGCUUACUCAGAGCGGGUCUAAGGACGACCUCCUGGACAGCAACCAGACUGGCUUCAGAAGUGAACAUUCAACUGAGACUGCCUUGCUCUCAGUUGUUAAAGCUCUAAAACUGGCAAGAGUGGCUUCCAAAACUUCAAUACUUGUCUUGAUGGAUCUGUCCUCUGCUUUUGGCAUGGUUAACCAUCAGAUCCUCUUGUCAACCUCAUGGCAAAGGCAUCUCAGGAACCUCACUUCAGUGUUCAAGUCUUAGAUCUUUCAAGGUAUCUUGGAGGGAUGAGGUGUCCAAGUCGCAACAUCUAGCUACUGGGCUGCCUCAGGGCUCAGUUAUUGGACCACUUCUUUUCUCUAUCCACACGAUCUGACAAUAGCUGCUCACAUCUCAGCAUGACUAACAGACAUUUAUUGCUGGAUGAAGAACCAUCACCUUCAAUACAACCUUGCCAAGACAGAAUUGCUUGUGGCUUCAGCCAACUCAACACAUCAUCCAACUCAACACAUCAUCCCAAUUUCUCCAUCCAGCUUUGCACAUCAACCAUAACAACUUGCAAGACAGCCAGGAACCUUGGAGUUAUGAUUUGCUGAAUUUCACAGACCACAUUGUUAGAAAUGCCCGCUCCUCCAGAUUUGCCUUAUACAGCAUUAGGAGGAUCAGGCCCUUUCUAUCAGAACAUGCUACACAACUCCUUGUUCAAGCCCUUGUUCUGGCCAGACUUGACUAUUGAAACGCUCUCUUGGCAGGUCCUCCAGGCAGUUCUUUCAAACCUCUGCAACUAAUCCAGAAUGCAGUUGCAAGAGUAGUCUUCAACGACUGGAAAAGUGUGCAUGUCACACCUCUGUUCAUUAAUUUUCUCUGGUUACCAAUAGCAACUCUCAUAAAUUUCAAGGCAUUGAUGUUUGCCUACAAAACAACAAUGGCUCUGCUUCAGACUUGUAUGCCCUCCAGAAGCUUGUGUUCUGCAAGUGAAUGGCACAUUAUAGUGACAUCCCAGAGAGGCACAAAAUCACUUUCAUGGACUUUUACCUUAACUGUUCCCCGCUGGUGGAACAACCUGUCCAACUCGAUCCAAUCAGCUGAGUCUUUAGCCAUCUUCAAGAAUGGCUAAAGACACAUUUCCCAUCUACACUUGAUCCUCCAACACUAACACUCUCUAUUCCAUUUCUACUCUAUCUACUUGUUUUCUUUCAUCUUUAUAACAAUAUUGUUACAAAUGUUGAUUUUUUUUUUUUCAAGUUUUAAUUUGAAAUUGUUUAUUGUCUGUAACUCAUUUCUUGUUUUAUGUAUUUCAAACUUUAUUAUACCUGCUAUGAAUUCAAGUUAUUUUGAAAUUAUCCCUAAAUUGUGUGAGUGUACAACAUUUAAGCUGUGUUGUAUCACUACAAGAAAACGUGAACAUCUGUGUAGAUUUUUUAUUUGUUUGUUUUUUUGCAUUUACUUUUUACAAGAUCAAUUUUACAUGCAUUUAUACAAUAUAUAUUUUUUUAUGCCCAUCCCUAUCAACCUUCUAUUUAACUACAUUCAAGACACUACAAAAUAGGGUAAAAUAAAUAAAUAAAUAAAAAUAACUAAUAGAUAGCACCAUAGUUUUCCCAAGACAAUUGUUUUCUAUUACAAGAAAUGGUAUGUUUGAAUAUGCAAAUGAUGCAUUGCCUAAUUAAAUAUGCACUAACUUAAGUUUUCAGAACAAAAACGCCAGGUUCAGAAUUCACGUUUUACUUUACUGACAUAUUAAUGUUAAAGGUUUUUGCUUUUGUUUUUUUAGAGAGAGAAUUUUGUAUAUCUCCUUUUAUCACUCAAAAAAGCCACAAAAAGUAACCAUAAUUUUAAGAAUAAAAUGUUAUAUUAAACAGGAGAAUGAUAUAUGAACAAACCCCUCUGUAAAAACAAACAAACAAAAAACCUUGAGAAUUGGAAUAAAAACUGCAGUUUAGUUCACACAAGAGCUACUGAACUGGAUAUUUCGGUCUCCCACUAGGUCAUUACUCAUUCUUCCAAAAUGUAAGCAGAGGUAAGAACAUUUUAGAAGGCUUGUUCUUUAAAGAAUGGGCAUAACUAGUCAAUCUCCUACUUCAAAAACUGAAAUCAUGGGUUGCCUGUUAAGGAAGUGAAGAGCUUACUAGGAAAAAUCAUCAUACCAAUCAACCUUGUGCUUCUGCAAUCAUUGAAGAGACCUGACAAUAUCUGGUUUGUCUUUAUUUUAGGCAAUAUAGUUACAAGAAUACAGUACAUGUCUAUAAAUUCUAACAUUUUGUGUAGCAUGCAA